UGGAUUCUGGAGAAUCACAGAACGGCCGGUACUCCAGGAAGGCCGGUGGGCUGGCCCACCACUCUCCACGCAUGCUUUCAACACCUGUUUUUUCCCCUGCUAAUCUCUUUCACACUCCAGUACUCUAGGGGGCAGCACUGCACCUCUAAGUUAGAUGCCAGCUGCAUUGGCUGUGGCCACCAGGCAAGGAGAAGAAGUGGAGUAGGAGGCAAAGACGGUGGAAAGAAACGAUGCAAAAUGCGUCUGUAAGUAAAAAAAGGAAAGAAAUUUGCAGACUGAGUUAAAGUGUCUGGCAGCUCAGUGGCCACGGCUUAAAAAGUCUGCACUUGAAGAGUACAAGGUCAGGAUGGUAGGGGUUGGCUGUGAUGAUGACGAAGAAGAGAACACAGAUGUACUAAACAAACAGUGCAAAGGAAUGCUCAGUCUGUUGUUAUCGGAUUCUGAAACGAUACAACCUCUUCACAGAUGCUUAUCAUAUUCUUGGCUGGGGAUACAGGCACCUCCUUACUCUGCCUGUGGGAGCAUGUGAGAGAAGUUUCUCUGUUCUCAAACACAUAAAAAGCAGAAUAAGAAGCACACAGUCGCAAGAACAUCUGGAAGCAUUCAUGCUUAUGACUACAGAGAAAGACAUCCUCAUGUCCCUCGACAAUGACUUGGUCAUAGACAGAGUUGCAGAAAAAAGCGACCUGUUGAAGAAAAUACUUAUCCUCCAACAUUGAGUAAGAUAACUGUUUUGUAUUGGUUCAGCCAGAGGGACUGCAGUAUGUUGAGACCUCCAUUUCUAUUUUAACCCUAAACAGUGAAGAAGGUGCAGCAGCGCCUCUUCUUUCUCAGGAGACUGAAGAGAUUCGGCAUGAGCCCCCGCAUCCUCAGGACCUUCUAUCGCUGUGCCAUUGAGAGCAUCCUCACUGGAUGCAUCACCACCUGGUACGGCAACAGCACCGCCUACAACCGCAAAGCUCUCCAGAGAGUGGUGCGGUGUGCUGAAAGAAUAAUUGGAGGUGAGCUUCCCUCCCUCCAGGACAUCUACAGGAAGCGGUGCCUGAGGAAAGCGGGGA